rnacentral:rRNA from 1 species
AGUGAACGCUGGCGGUAGGCCUAACACAUGCAAGUCGAACGGCAGCACAGUAAGAGCUUGCUCUUACGGGUGGCGAGUGGCGGACGGGAGAGGAAUACAUCGGAAUCUACUUUUUCGUGGGGGAUCACGUAGGGAAACUUACGCUAAUACCGCAUACGACCUACGGGUGAAAGCAGGGGAUCUUCGGACCUUGCGCGAUUGAAUGAGCCGAUGUCGGAUUAGCUAGUUGGCGGGGUAAAGGCCCACCAAGGCGACGAUCCGUAGCUGGUCUGAGAGGAUGAUCAGCCACACUGGAACUGAGACACGGUCCAGACUCCUACGGGAGGCAGCAGUGGGGAAUAUUGGACAAUGGGCGCAAGCCUGAUCCAGCCAUACCGCGUGGGUGAAGAAGGCCUUCGGGUUGUAAAGCCCUUUUGUUGGGAAAGAAAAGCAGCAGGUUAAUACCCCGCUGUUCUGACGGUACCCAAAGAAUAAGCACCGGCUAACUUCGUG